CCUACGGGAGACAGCAGUGAGGAAUAUUGGUCAAUGGGCGGGAGCCUGAACCAGCCAAGUCGCGUGAGGGAUGACGGCCCUAUGGGUUGUAAACCUCUUUUGCCGGGGAGCAAAGUGCCGCACGUUUGCGGUUUGUAGAGUACCCGGAUAAAAAGCAUCGGCUAACUCCGUGCCAGCAGCCGCGGUAAUACGGAGGAUGCUAGCGUUAUCCGGAUUUAUUGGGGUUAAAGGGUGCGUAGGCGGACGCUUAAGUCAGCGGUAAAAUUGCGGGGCUCAACCUCGUCGAGUCGGUGAAACUGGGUGCAUUGAGUGGGCGAGAAGUACGCGGAAUGCGUGGUGUAGCGGUGAAAGGCAUAGAUAUCACGCAGAACUCCGAUUGCGAAGGCAGCGUACCGGCGCCCAACUGACGCUGAAGCACGAAGGCGUGGGUAUCGAACAGGAUGAGAUACCCCUGUAGUC
rnacentral:rRNA from 1 species